GUGAAGACAUUUUGAAAAGUGUAAAAAUCAUGCCUUUUAAUUUUAGCAGCUACUAAUCUUGAUUCAUAUAUUGGUAUACUAUAAAAAUUCACUUAAAUAGAAACAUGGAGUUGGAAGGAGUGAGAAUAGCUGUGACUCUCAAGUCAACUGAAGUCUGGAUUCUCCUUCCCUAGUGUUUGGGAGUAUAUUCUGCAUUCAUAUUUCAAUACAAUCCUAUCAGAAUGUGAAGCUGCUGAAUGUCUGCAUUUCUGUUCUUUCUGUACAGCAUGUACUGCCCUGAUCUCAGCCACGAGGCUGGUUUGAAAGCUCUUUGCUGAGUACCAAGUCUACUUUUAACUCUGCUUUGAGUUUAGAGAGCAAUAGACUUGGAAAAGUAGGCUCUCAACAAAGUAAUUUUUUUAAUAUUUAGUUGAAAUUUUAAACAGUCCCAUCUUGGAGAAAAUCUUAGCUGUGAGUUUUUUCCACCUCUGUCCUAGAGGAAAGACAGACAGCACCCUCUAAAGCCAGUGUUGGUGAUGAAACAGAAGGAGUAGUUCAUUCAGAAGAAUGCGCAGGCCAGUUCAGGAGAGCUUCUCCUGCCCCAGGCUGGUGACAAGACUGUACAGGAUGUGACGUACAGGGAAAGCAAAGAAGGCCCAGAGCCAUUAGUCUACACCUGAAUGCUGGGCUCUGUUUCAUGGCAGUGUUAAAAGGCUUCUGUAUACAAACAACUAGUGUAUAUUAACACCUUGACAUUAAAGUCUUGGCCAACAACCCCAAGCUCUACCUCUCAUUCCAGCAUAAAACCAUGAGAGUAUCCAAGCUAGAUUCUUCUGUAUAUGUUUCCAUUUUUAGUUUGUUUUUGUUUUUGUUUUUGUUUUUUUUUGUACAAAACUGAGUCACAGAGGCAGAGCACUUAACUCCUUUUUAACUAGAAGGAAAAAGAAAAUACCUUCAACUAAUCUCCAUUCAAAACCAUUCAGGGCAAUCUGGGCCCCAUGGUAAUCAUGAACACAAAAUGAGACCCUGACACAAGAAGCAAUUUUUUUUUAAAUCAGGCAGCACUGAGUUUUGAUAAGUCAACAAAUCCAGAAGAAAUUCCAGACGCUCAGAUUUCCAUGUUAAAUAAGCCUCUUUUGAAGCAUAAGCUGACAGUCUCAUUAAAUACUUCACAGAAACACUUCUGAAACCUCAGGCUUCCGUGUUUACAGCAAAUCUCCGAGAGACACAGUGAGCUCAUAUGACGAGAUUGUUCUGUUUUCUUCACAAGUCUUUCACGUGGACAUUUCAGAAACUCAGUUCUCAUAGAUGGUACAUCAUGUGAGUAUGAUCAAGUAGGGUAGCUGAGACUGUAUGAGGCCACUGUGCAUCCUGGCUUAGUCAGGUACUGAGCAUAACGUUAGUAGCCAAGCUGUACAGACGAAGACUCAGUAGUAAGCCUAAGCUGAGACUGCCCUGGAAAAUGAGGCCUUGUUCCCUUCACCGUGGGGUUUUCACCAGAAAAUGUAAAAAUGGUAAUAUGAGUGGUCUCCCCAUAGAGCAAAGAUGAUAAAAAUUUUGAUUUACAAUGUGUUCUGUAUCUUGAAGUGAGUGUGAUUAUCUUAUAUACAUUCUUACACUGCUAUUCAUCAGCCAGAUUCAGUGCAAGGAAAGACAGACUGUAGAUGACUUCGGUGAACUUUGACAAUAUGUCUUGAGGAUUACCUUCCUCCGGGUUAGUUUACCCCUUUAGAGGUUAAUACAGUGUUUAUGAAAAAAAUGUUACUGGUAACUGAAGGGCAGCACAGCGGUAAGGAACCUUCCGGCAUGUGCAAGACCCUGGGGUUGGUCCUGAGCGCUGGAAAAAAAAAAAAACGAAGUGACUCCAUUGGUAUUCUGUUCUAAUACUUGGAGAAUGACCUUCAUACUUAUAUAUGUCUUAUGUCUUAACCAUACAGUGAUAAAAUCCAGGAAAUGUUUUUUAACAAAACUGUUUGUAAAAUGUUUAUAAUUAUAUAAAAGUGGAUCUUCUACAUGUUCAAUAAAAAGCAAUAUCUCCAAAUUGUAGAUGCUCUU
rnacentral:lncRNA from 1 species